rnacentral:rRNA from 1 species
AACGAACGCUGGCGGCAUGCCUAACACAUGCAAGUCGAACGAGACCUUCGGGUCUAGUGGCGCACGGGUGCGUAACGCGUGGGAACCUGCCCUUAGGUUCGGAAUAACUCCCCGAAAGGGGUGCUAAUACCGGAUAAUGUCUUCGGACCAAAGAUUUAUCGCCUUUGGAUGGGCCCGCGUUGGAUUAGCUAGUUGGUAGGGUAAAAGCCUACCAAGGCGACGAUCCAUAGCUGGUCUGAGAGGAUGAUCAGCCACACUGGGACUGAGACACGGCCCAGACUCCUACGGGAGGCAGCAGUGGGGAAUAUUGGACAAUGGGCGAAAGCCUGAUCCAGCAAUGACGCGUGAGUGAUGAAGGCCUUAGGGUUGUAAAGCUCUUUUAACCGGGAUGAUAAUGACAGUACCGGGAGAAUAAGCCCCGGCUAACUCCGUG